GCUGUGUGGUGGUCAGAGAGGCGGCCCGUGGGGAAAGGCGUGGAGGUGAGGGGCACAUGUGGAGAUCUACGUGCAUACCCAGUGAUUACUCAGACACACAAGCACUCACACAGAUCAAAGCUUGCCGGUUGUUGAGAGGGACCUGACCCGUGGGAGAGGCGGAGGACCCUGCUGUUUGGCUAGUCAGCGGUGUGGAAAGAGACAAACAGGCAGCUCCAAGGACAGCCAGAGAGCCCCCCCGGGCUCACGGAGCCCUAAAUCCAUGGAGGUUUCUCAAGGCCAUGCAUGACAGAGGAGCUGUUGAGGAGGCUUGCAGACGGUCAGGCCUCACACUGGACGUGAAGAGCUCCCACCAAGCAGGCCUGGACCCAGAUGUAACAUAUGCAGAUACACAGGAGGCUGCAGUGUACAUAGGCGCUACUGAUUAGGAAACCUCCUGUGGGUGUCUUUCAACUUGACGACAGAAUGGAGGCUUAUCCAUCUACCUUGAUGUUCCAACGCUGCUCUUCCAACAGCAGGCAAGGUCAUACCUGCUAUUACUGCCAUGUAAAAGCACAGACAAUAGCAGGAGGUCACAAAUUAAGCCUGGCCCACUGCUAGGAGUGCAGCGUUCUUCUGUGUUUCGAAUCAGUCCCCCACUAAUGCUCUGUCUGACUUAUUUUUAUUCUCCCUCUGCCUUUCACCUUCUUCCAUCGCUGUAAAGACUAACUACUGGCCAUGUCCAGCACAGGAAAACUUGAUCUAAGGUCUAAAAGGCAAUCAAGUCCGCUCUACCUCAUUGGAAGUCCGUCUUUGCUUUAAAGAUCUACUGGCUCCAGAAAUUCUCCAUCAUGAUGAAGAAUUUGAUCCAGGGGAUUGCGCUGUCUGGAUAAAUGUUCACUGGGCUCUAUAAGGGGAAUGGAUUGAGGUCACGGUACUAAAGCAUCUCCCUCAGUUCAAAGGUGGGCAUGAAUGUGAGUCCUGAAGAGAGAUUCAUCUUGGUCAGGAGAAAACCUCUUGAAAGGAGGGCAUGUAAUCACAAGAUGGAGCAUGACGGACCAUAUCGUUAUUAAAUGGUAUUGUUAAAGGAAAAAGGAGAGAGAGGUCAAAUUUGAUGUAAGCCGCCUUAUUGUGACAUUUGAGACGAG